UCCCUGAUGGCUCAGUGGUAAAGAAUCUGCCUGCCAACGCAGGAGACACAGGUUCCAUCCCUGGUCCGGGAA
rfam:Ovis aries breed Texel chromosome 3, whole genome shotgun sequence.